rnacentral:rRNA from 1 species
UACGUAGGGGGCAAGCGUUGUCCGGAUUUAUUGGGCGUAAAGCGCUCGCAGGUGGUCCGUUGCGUCGUGCGUGAAAGCCCCGGGCUCAACUCGGGAACUGCGCUUGAUACUGUCGAGCUAGAGUGUGGAAGGGGCGAUUGGAAUUCCGUGUGUAGCGGUGAAAUGCGUAGAUAUACGGAGGAACACCAGAGGCGAAGGCGGAUCGCUGGGCCAACACUGACGCUGAGACGCGAAAGCUAGGGUAGCAAACGGGAUUAGAUACCCUUGUAGU